rnacentral:lncRNA from 1 species
GAACGUGGAACCCGUGGUUGCACUUGGGAAGCAGACGAAGCUGUUCUCCAGCUACGAAAUCAGACAAACAAAUGACACACUCCUCGCCAACACCUGACUCUAUGUUCAUCUCAGGUGAGUAAUUCACUACUGGGAACAUCUUGAGAGCUUUCUUCUUGAUCCCUUUGUUUGCUUCUGAACCUCGUGGUGUGGACUGGCUUGGGAUGGGAUCAGAGAUCAUGAAACUCGAGGAACGUCUGAAUGCACAACGGAUUACAUAAUGCAACGCGAGCGAGCAGAUGAUACCGCAGACAAGGAUAGAGAGAAGCAGGAGAACGUUGGCGCUCAAGUUGUUCUUAUCAGGUACAUGAGCUUGUUCUUGUU